UACGUAGGGGGCAAGCGUUGUCCGGAAUUAUUGGGCGUAAGGCGCUCGCAGGCGGUCCUUUGAGUCUGAUGUGAAAUCUCGCGGCUCAACCGCGAACGGUCAUUGGAAACUGGAGGACUUGAGUACAGAAGAGGAGAGUGGAAUUCCACGUGUAGCGGUGAAAUGCGUAGUGAUGUGGAGGAAUACCAGUGGCGAAGGCGACUCUCUGGUCUGUAACUGACGCUGAGGAGCGAAAGCGUAGGGAGCGAACAGG
rnacentral:misc_RNA from 1 species